rnacentral:lncRNA from 1 species
UGCUACCAGAACUGACUCGCUUCAAAGUGAUGGAUGAAACCCAUAUGGAGAUAUUCCUGGGGUGGGUAGGCCAGUUGGAAGACAGAGUGUUUACACAUGAGAGAGGACUUGAGAAUUUUACUCAGUCACGUUGCUCACUGCUGCGCACUCCUGCAGACGCAUCCCAGUGGACUCUGCGCUGCAUCCCCAGAGUACAGCGAGUUUCCCGCCUCCCGUUAGAGAUCCAACACAUAUUUUUUUGAAAGAAGAAACUGAUGGAAGACAGGAAGCAAAAAGGAGAGGAAGGAAAGGGAUAGGAAGGAGGGGAAGGAAAGGGACAGGAAGGAGGAAAAGGAAAGGGAAAGGAAGGAAAAGAAAGGAAAGGGAACUUGAAAUCCUACAAGGUCUCAAAGUCAAAAAACAUGUAAGUCAAUUAUCACAGAAAAUAAAAGAACUGCUACAAGGGCAA